UAAGAGCUUGCUCUUAUGAAGUUAGCGGCGGACGGGUGAGUAACACGUGGGUAACCUGCCCAUAAGACUGGGAUAACUCCGGGAAACCGGGGCUAAUACCGGAUAACAUUUUGAACUGCAUGGUUCGAAAUUGAAAGGCGGCUUCGGCUGUCACUUAUGGAUGGACCCGCGUCGCAUUAGCUAGUUGGUGAGGUAACGGCUCACCAAGGCAACGAUGCGUAGCCGACCUGAGAGGGUGAUCGGCCACACUGGGACUGAGACACGGCCCAGACUCCUACGGGAGGCAGCAGUAGGGAAUCUUCCGCAAUGGACGAAAGUCUGACGGAGCAACGCCGCGUGAGUGAUGAAGGCUUUCGGGUCGUAAAACUCUGUUGUUAGGGAAGAACAAGUGCUAGUUGAAUAAGCUGGCACCUUGACGGUACCUAACCAGAAAGCCACGGCUAACUACGUGCCAGCAGCCGCGGUAAUACGUAGGUGGCAAGCGUUAUCCGGAAUUAUUGGGCGUAAAGCGCGCGCAGGUGGUUUCUUAAGUCUGAUGUGAAAGCCCACGGCUCAACCGUGGAGGGUCAUUGGAAACUGGGAGACUUGAGUGCAGAAGAGGAAAGUGGAAUUCCAUGUGUAGCGGUGAAAUGC
rnacentral:rRNA from 1 species